AUAAGCGGAGGAAAAGAAACCAACUGGGAUUACCUUAGUAACGGCGAGUGAAGCGGUAAAAGCUCAAAUUUGAAAUCUGGUACUUUCAGUGCCCGAGUUGUAAUUUGUAGAAUUUGUCUUUGAUUAGGUCCUUGUCUAUGUUCCUUGGAACAGGACGUCAUAGAGGGUGAGAAUCCCGUUUGGCGAGGAUACCUUUUCUCUGUAAGACUUUUUCGAAGAGUCGAGUUGUUUGGGAAUGCAGCUCAAAGUGGGUGGUAAAUUCCAUCUAAAGCUAAAUAUUGGCGAGAGACCGAUAGCGAACAAGUACAGUGAUGGAAAGAUGAAAAGAACUUUGAAAAGAGAGUGAAAAAGUACGUGAAAUUGUUGAAAGGGAAGGGCAUUUGAUCAGACAUGGUGUUUUUUUAAUGUGCAAGUCUCUCGUGGACAUGUGCCUCUGGAAAUUAACACUGGGCCAACAUCAGUUCUGGCGGCAGGAUAAAUCAUUAAGAAUGUAGCUACCUCGGUAGUGUUAUAGCUUUUUGGAAUACUGCCAGCUGGGAUUGAGGACUGCGCUUCGG
rnacentral:rRNA from 1 species